rnacentral:tRNA from 1 species
GCGGGUGUGGCGGAACUGGUAGACGCACUAGAUUUAGGUUCUAGCGCUGCAAGGCGUGGGGGUUCAAGUCCCUCCAUCCGUACCA